GGAUUUUGGAAGUGGUAAAAAGGUUAGCGUUUAAGUUUUUUGGACUGCUCAGAACGAACGCUGGCGGCAGGCUUAACACAUGCAAGUCGAACGCCCCGCAAGGGGAGUGGCAGACGGGUGAGUAACGCGUGGGAACAUACCCUUUCCUGCGGAAUAGCUCCGGGAAACUGGAAUUAAUACCGCAUACGCCCUACGGGGGAAAGAUUUAUCGGGGAAGGAUUGGCCCGCGUUGGAUUAGCUAGUUGGUGGGGUAAAGGCCUACCAAGGCGACGAUCCAUAGCUGGUCUGAGAGGAUGAUCAGCCACAUUGGGACUGAGACACGGCCCAAACUCCUACGGGAGGCAGCAGUGGGGAAUAUUGGACAAUGGGCGCAAGCCUGAUCCAGCCAUGCCGCGUGAGUGAUGAAGGCCUUAGGGUUGUAAAGCUCUUUCACCGGAGAAGAUAAUGACGGUAUCCGGAGAAGAAGCCCCGGCUAACUUCGUGCCAGCAGCCGCGGUAAUACGAAGGGGGCUAGCGUUGUUCGGAAUUACUGGGCGUAAAGCGCACGUAGGCGGAUAUUUAAGUCAGGGGUGAAAUCCCAGAGCUCAACUCUGGAACUGCCUUUGAUACUGGGUAUCUUGAGUAUGGAAGAGGUAAGUGGAAUUCCGAGUGUAGAGGUGAAAUUCGUAGAUAUUCGGAGGAACACCAGUGGCGAAGGCGGCUUACUGGUCCAUUACUGACGCUGAGGUCGAAAAGGACG
rnacentral:rRNA from 1 species